AUGUGUUGAGUGUUUACUGCAUGCCAUGCACUUUGUGGUAUUGGAAAUCAUGCCAUCACUGAGCUCCUGGACCUGGUUGGCAAGAAAACCACAGUAGGUGCUGAGACAGGGGUAGAAACCAAACCCUGUGAAGACACACAGCCUGAUUUUGCUUGAGUAAGGACCAGCAGCUCCCCAAGGCACAUUCCUGUCAUGGCAGAUGGCAGAUGGCAGAAGCAAAGCAUCCAAGCCAAACUACACAGGCAUUUAAAGCCUCUGCUUAGCAUCACAUUUGCUCACAAUUUAUUGGCUGAAGGAAGUCACAUGGCCAAAUCCAGAGGUGGUGCUGAUGAGCUACUCUCAACAAGGACAACUGAAGCAGCAGACACCUUAGACCAGUGCAGGGCCAGCUAGGACCCUGGGUGAUCUCAGACUGGGACAAUCAGUAAAUGGAUUCCACCUUACAACACUCCACCAGGCAGAGUCAAGUUCACUAAUUCACAUGGAAGGAGAAAAUAAGAAGGUGAUGUCGCAGGACACUGGAAGUUGAAGCAUUGGGAACUAUGAUUUCCCUAUAAGAAUCCUUCCAAAGAGGAUCAUCCAUCGUAACCACAUUUUUAUUUGUUAUGGCCAGAAACAGAGAGCCAUUAGAAUGACUUGAAGAAAUAGAGGAGUUAUGAAAAUAUCAUAAUACCAUCUAAACUAUUUUAAGAUGCUUGCCAUGUGCCAGAAACUGUGUGAAGCCCUGUAGGACACCAUUAAGGCCUUACAAUGAUGCCAAGAAGUUGACAGCAUUACUCUAUCCCACAGCUGGGGAGAUUAAAGUUCAGAGAGGUUAAGGGGCUUGCCUCAUCACUUUGACUCAUCCCUGCGUGCCCUCACCCAGAAUCACUACAGCCCCACUGCUAGCCCGCCCUGUCUCUUAGGGCCCAAUUCCAAAUUGCUAUGAAGAGAAUCUUCUAGGUCCAGCUCAUCUCAUCCUUUCAAGCCAGGAUCACAGGUCAGAACCCCCUGGCCAGUCAGUGCUAAUCUGCCCUUGUGGCAACUGCUCUAGUCCAGUCAGUGAGGCCAAAGUGGGGCCCCAUGGAGCAGAACGUUGCCACCUAAGCAGCCACAGCAAGGCAGGGAGCCACAGUGGGGUAGGACAGACACCCCGUAAAGCAGAGAGUGGGCAGGGCAAGCAGAGAUUAGCUUCUGGG